UACGUAGGGUGCAAGCGUUGUCCGGAAUUAUUGGGCGUAAAGAGCUCGUAGGCGGUCUGUCGCGUCGGCUGUGAAAACCUGGGGCUUAACUCCGGGCCUGCAGCCGAUACGGGCAGACUAGAGUUCGGCAGGGGAGACUGGAAUUCCUGGUGUAGCGGUGAAAUGCGCAGAUAUCAGGAGGAACACCGGUGGCGAAGGCGGGGUCUCUGGGCCUUACCUGACGCUGAGGAGCGAAAGCGUGGGGAGCGAACAGG
rnacentral:rRNA from 1 species